rnacentral:rRNA from 1 species
AAAUGUAGCGUUAGGGAGCGUCCGUUAACUCGGGUGCGCGCGGCUUGCACAAGUCUCCCUUGAACGGUGCCAUUAUCCAUAGAGGGUGCCAGGCCCGUACUGCAGCUGCCGCGCCCGGGUGGGCGUCUCCUGGGAGUCGGUCUGUUUGAGAACGCAGACCUAAGUGGGUGGUAAACUCCAUCUAAGGCUAAAUACGACCACGAGACCGAUAGCGCACAAGUACCGUGAGGGAAAGGUGAAAAGAACUUUGAAGAGAGAGUUCAAGAGUACGUGAAACUGGAGAGGUGAAAACGGAUGUGACUGGAAAUUCCGAACGGCGGUGUUCAGUCUCACCGAAUCCGGACCCCGCCCCCGUUGAGACUCAAGGGUCCUCGCCGGCGUGCGGCCGCUCCUCGUGGGCGGUCGUCGCGUCGCCCGGGCCCCUCUCGGGUGGUGUUUGGGAUUCCGGAGGGGUGUGGAUGCACUCACCGCCGUAGUAGGAUGUCGCGACUCGUUGGGUGUCGGUCGCGAGGCCCGGCCGGGAGCCCGGUGUCCGUGUGACGUGUUCCUCUGAGGAAAAAUACACGCAGUGCGGCCCGGACCGGUUUCGGUGUCCUCUCCGACUGCCCGACGGUAUCGAAGGCGAGUCGUGUGCCCGUGCCCGCUGUCAAACGUCCCUUGCUCGUCUCGGGGCAG